rnacentral:RNase_P_RNA from 1 species
GGAGCAGGCCGGGUGACCGCGGCUCGCAGGAGCUGAGGAAAGUCCGGACUCCNNNNNNNNNNAAGAGCUCACCAGCGCAUCGGGCGACCGGUGCGGCUAGGCAAACCCCGUCCGGAGCAAGACCAAGCAGGAGGCAGGGGCGGCCCGUCCGCCCGGUGCGCCGGGCACCUCCGGGUAGGUCGCAAGAGGCGAGCGGCGACGCUCGUCGCAGAUGGAUGGUCACCGCCGUCACCCCGGUGGCGGCACAGGAUCCGGCUUACAGGCCAGCUCCGUAG